CAGGAGCCACUCGAGAGGCCUGUAACUGCCCACUAACAUGGCAACACUAGUGAGAGAAAAGCCCAUUGGUGAAAAUUGAAAAACUGGAAUCCUUAUUGGGAAAAGAGGACCUUAAAGCAUUAAGAAAAAUACAAUAGUACAAGUUUUAUUUCAGCACUUUUAGCUAUUAUCCCCAUUAUAGUAAUAAUUAACGUUUAAUUCACCAACAUAAGCACAGAGAUAUGGAGAUGUAAAAUCCAUCAUGAUGAAUAUUUGUAAUCGCAUCAUGUCUGUCUCGUUCUGUUUCCCAAUGUAACAUGUACAGUUGGUGAGUUAAAUGUUUUUACCAUUCAUAGGAGUAACAGCCAAAACUAUGCAUUUCAGUUAUACCACAGUGGAAUUUUUUCUUUAUUACCGAUGUCCAGCAAUCAGAGUCCAUAUCAACUGAACCCCUUCACCCAGUUUAAUAACGCAAUGAUAACAAAAUACCGACCAAGAAGUUGGUACAUGAAUCUACAUACAACAUCACACACCAUGCACGCUGUCACCUUUGGAGGAGUA